UCUGGCAAGCACCCACGGGCGCAGAUAGGUCAUGUCCAUCGUCGUUAACACCACUUCUGCAAAGCCACCCCCACGCGAGGGCGAGAGCGCUUCAUCAGCGGAGAGCCUGGUCGCUCUCAUGCAGCAAGCAUACACGCAGCAGUACACAGAGGCACGUAAUCAAUACAAGGCGUCUCAUGCGCGCUUCACCGCCCGCUUGAAGCGGCCGCCUCUUUCGCAGCUGGAGCGUUACUGCACAAACGUCUUCCGAGACCUGUCCUUUUACACGAGCGCCAUCAAUGCUGAGGAGACGUGCGCGCCGUCUGUGUGCACGCAUGGCCCGCGACGCAUUGGUAUCCACUCGGUGAAUCACGAGCUUCGCCUUCGUGCACAGAAGCGGCUGCGUGCUGCGCCCGCGAAGCCGAAGCGCGACGCAGAUGAUGUACUUACACUUCUAGUGGCGCAGGAAGCGGCCGAGUAUGCCGACCUGCUCGAACUGGAGGCGAAGUUCUUCAUGGGCGUUGCCCGCGCCUACUACCAAACGAUAUUUGGGCCCACCGACGACCUUGUGUGGCUCGAGGCGCAGGCUCGGCGCAGCUUUGAAGACGAGUACAACCGUGCCACGAUGGCUUUCCUCGCCCAGCUGCGUGAGGAGAUAUGGGGGGCGGAACAGCGGCUGCUUUUGCGCGCACUAGGGAUGUUCCCCGAUGCGCUGCCGCACGUCGGGCAGCUGCGCCUCAUUGCCGCGGAACGCGAUGCACUGCAGCAGGCCAAGUUGUCCGUGCUGGAAAGCCGCGAAGCAGCGCCUCUGUGGCAACGUGUAUGCGCCAUUCGAGGCGAGACGGAGAGCGAGGAGGACAUCAUAUUCCGGCGGAUUUUGCUGGCCUGCGUCGUUGAGGCGCACGGCAUCAGCGAAGGGUACCUGCGGUACGACACCGUUACUGGCCGGCUGCGGCACACGUACAAAGAGGUUCCGCCAUUCAUGAGGGAUGUCAUCGACUACUCCAUGCAGUUCGAGCCCUUCGCAGCGGUUCUGGAGGAAGAGACGCAGCGCAUGCGAAUCGCGGAGGAGGCGGAGGGUGCCUGUGCCUCCCUAGCUGCAGCCCUCGCCUCUGGUGCCGACGCGGAAGGCAAUGUCUCAUCUACUCCUGACGCUGCUACCGCCCCUAUAGCGCCAAGCCACGCCGAUCAAACAGCGGCAGAGGCGUGAGAGAGUGCAGCGGGUGCCCGCCACAGAUACGGAGACGCAUCACAGAAAGGAAGGGCCGUACAGUGCACAUGUGCACAAGGUGCGUAUCAGUAUGUAUGUAUGGGUGAAAUCGAUGUACACUAAUGGCGGGGCAGGCAAAGUUGGGCACCAUCUUGUCCUGGUUUUUAUUGCUGUUGUUUUCACGGCGCUUGUUCUCUCACACACACGCCGAGCUCUCAUGCCUCAUUUUCGCCUGGAAUGCCAUCAUGUGUGUCGGCGUUGAUGCCGCAUGUGCGACAUGAAGAGCAGCUGCUAGAGAGUCGGAAGGCGAGAGUGAGACUGUCAGCGCUCCAAUGAUGUAACCGAAUGUGUGUAGCGCGCCGUCCGUGCUGUCCCCCUACCCUCCCCCCCAGCCGCCGCGCAUCUAGCUUGCCUCUUAAGCCAAUGUUGUCCACCCCCUUCACCACCACCGCUUGUCUGCCGCUCGCUCGCUCGUUGGCACAUGUGACUGCUUUCACUUUCCGUGUCUCCUCUACCCCCCCCCCAUUGUCGUGUCCGCAACCCCCACGGAGAGCCCUGUGUUUUGCCGUAUCCCCGGGAGGGGGAGGGCUGAGCGAGAAAGAGGGGGAGGUUGCAGGGCCGUGGAGGAGCGUUGAACCGUAUUCCAACAACAGUGACGAUAUACGCGCACGGACGACGGGUGAAUGCCAUUCUGGUGCAGACCCUUCCUCGGUUUGCUGCUCCUCUUUCUCCGCAACUGCAUGACACCGAUGGGCGCGCGGCGUGUGAAGGAAAUGACUUUACUGCGCGCCCUCUGCCGAAGUGAGCCGGUAUGCACCGUCUCGUAGCGCGGCUGCCUCUGAGAGUCACUUCCCAGCAUCCCGCCAACAUGCGUCACCGCCUCCAUGUCUCUCGUCUUUUUUCUUCCCUCACUCCUCCUGUAUGCUGCGGGGACGGCGCUGCCACGGCGACACGCACGCACACCCGCUCGCUGCCCCCUCACACCGGUGUAAG
rnacentral:misc_RNA from 1 species